rnacentral:rRNA from 1 species
UAUGCAAUCUACCUUUUACAGAGGGAUAGCCCAGAGAAAUUUGGAUUAAUACCUCAUAGUAUAGCAGUUUCGCAUGAAACCACUAUUAAAGUCACAACGGUAAAAGAUGAGCAUGCGUCCCAUUAGCUAGUUGGUAAGGUAACGGCUUACCAAGGCUACGAUGGGUAGGGGUCCUGAGAGGGAGAUCCCCCACACUGGUACUGAGACACGGACCAGACUCCUACGGGAGGCAGCAGUGAGGAAUAUUGGACAAUGGGCGCAAGCCUGAUCCAGCCAUGCCGCGUGCAGGAUGACGGUCCUAUGAAUUGUAAACUGCUUUUGUACGAGAAGAAACACUCCUAUGUAUAGGAGCUUGACGGUAUCGUAAGAAUAAGGAUCGGCUAACUCCGUGCCAGCAGCCGCGGUAAUACGGGGGAUCCAAGCAUUAUCCGGAAUCAUUGGGUUUAAAGGGUCCGUAGGCGGUUUAGUAAGUCAGUGGUGAAAGCCCAUCGCUCAACGGUGGAACGGCCAUUGAUACUGCUGAACUUGAAUUAUUAGGAAGUAACUAGAAUAUGUAGUGUAGCGGUGAAAUGCUUAGAGAUUACAUGGAAUACCAAUUGCGAAGGCAGGUUACUACUAAUGGAUUGACGCUGAUGGACGAAAGCGUGGGUAGCGAACAGGAUUAGAUACCCUGGUAGUCCACGCCGUAAACGAUGGAUACUAGCUGUUG